GUUACGGCGGUCAGUAGCGGCAGGGAAACGCCCGGACCCAUCCCGAACCCGGAAGCUAAGCCUGCCAGCGCCAAUGGUACUGCCCAGCACGGGUGGAAAAGUAGGGCGCCGCCGAACAC
rnacentral:rRNA from 1 species